GCUGUGGCGAGGGAAGGGAACCAUUGUAAUACCUAGUUCAGGUAAUGAGGCCUCAGAUCCACACAUAGGCUUGACAGCGGGAGGAAGCCAUUUCUUUUUCCACAUAGUUCUCAUCCCAGCGGGGUAAGUGCUGUGAGGGCCACUCACUACCUUAAGUGAGGCAGAUCGUCCUAGGAACAACGUCAGAGCAACUUAAACCUAUCAAAGGCAGGCUUGCCUGGGAUCCUAGUUUCGUCUUGUGGGAGAAGUUAGCAGUCCUGAAUCUGCUCUAGGCUGGAAGUAAUGAGACCAUGGUGCCUCUAUGCAAAUGUAGGGAAGUGCUGGCAUAGGACAGAGGGCUGCUGGGUAGUUGCAGGGCUCAGUUUUACCUCACAUGCUGGGCAAGAGCUUCCUGUCUGUUCCAUCUGCAGUUCGAGCCUUUGCGUUUGGUCCAGUGGUUUAUGACGAGACCCUAUCCUUGUAGCAGACUCAGCUCCUCCUUACCUUCAUGAGCACCAGGUCUGGCAAAUGCCCAAGCACAAAGAAUCCAGUACUGA